UACGUAGGGUGCAAGCGUUAAUCGGAAUUACUGGGCGUAAAGCGUGCGCAGGCGGUUUUGUAAGUCAGAUGUGAAAUCCCCGGGCUUAACCUGGGAAUUGCAUUGGAAACUAGCGGGCUGGAGUGUGGCAGAGGGGGGUGGAAUUCCACGUGUAGCAGUGAAAUGCGUAGAGAUGUGGAGGAACACCGAUGGCGAAGGCAGCCCCCUGGGCUAACACUGACGCUCAUGCACGAAAGCGUGGGGAGCAAACAGG
rnacentral:rRNA from 1 species